rnacentral:misc_RNA from 1 species
AACGGUCUAUACCUGCGGUACCUGCGGAAGGAUCAUUACAGAGUUCGUGCCCUCUGGGUAGAUCUCCCACCCACUGUUUUCCUUACGACCGUUGCUUUGGCGGGCCGCCGGCCCUGCCCGGCCGCCGGCGCCCAGCUGGCGCGCGCCCGCCAGAGGCCCUCCAGACUCUGAAUGUUAGCGUCGUCUGAGUACCACAUAAUAAGUUAAAACUUUUAGCAACGGAUCUCUAGAUCGGAAGAG